AAAUUGGAGAGUUUGAUCCUGGCUCAGAACGAACGCUGGCGGCGUGCCUAACACAUGCAAGUCGCACGAGAAAUCCUGGGCAACCGGGA
rnacentral:rRNA from 1 species